GCCAACUUCCGUGUGGAUCACUAUUGGAGGACUUCAAUUUUGGAGUCUCAUGGAGAUCAGCAAUGUGCCACAUUAUCAUUUUGGUGAAAUUAAAAAUUUUAUUCCUUUUUUGCAUGCUUGUUUUGUUUUGAUUGACAUCGGCAAGGUGAUUCUAGGAUUUAGAUUUUGACUCGAUAGUUUUAUAUGUUAAAGCUAUUGACCUGUUUGAUUUUAAAAUUUUAAAAAUCACUUUCCACUGUGUGGUCAGAACCCA
rnacentral:lncRNA from 1 species